GAUGAACGCUGGCGGCGUGCCUAAUACAUGCAAGUCGAGCGAACAGACGAGGAGCUUGCUCCUCUGACGUUAGCGGCGGACGGGUGAGUAACACGUGGAUAACCUACCUAUAAGACUGGGAUAACUUCGGGAAACCGGAGCUAAUACCGGAUAAUAUAUUGAACCGCAUGGUUCAAUAGUGAAAGACGGUUUUGCUGUCACUUAUAGAUGGAUCCGCGCCGCAUUAGCUAGUUGGUAAGGUAACGGCUUACCAAGGCAACGAUGCGUAGCCGACCUGAGAGGGUGAUCGGCCACACGGGAACUGAGACACGGUCCAGACUCCUACGGGAGGAAGCAGUAGGGAAUCUUCCGCAAUGGGCGAAAGCUUGACGGAGCAACGCCGCGUGAGUGAUGAAGGUCUUCGGAUCGUAAAACUCUGUUAUUAGGGAAGAACAAAUGUGUAAGUAACUAUGCACGUCUUGACGGUACCUAAUCAGAAAGCCACGGCUAACUACGUG
rnacentral:rRNA from 1 species